AUGUGCCCGGGUAAAACAAACCUCAAGGAAGGGGAUGCCAACACUAAGUUCUUUCACCUAAGAGUGAAUGUGAGAAGGAAAAAAUUUAUCCACCGGCUGAAGGUUGGCCAUGGUUGGGUCACCUCACACGAAGAAAAGAAGAAGGCGGCAGAUGAUCAUUUCAAGAAAAUCUUCCACAAAGCGCAGAGGCGCACUAAGGACUUCAACUGGGAGGCCCUUCACUUUGAGAAUGGAGAUUUAUCUGGCCUUGGCGACAAUAUCAGCGAAGCCGAGGUGCUUGCCGCCAUUACCCAAUUGCUCGGGGACAAGGCCCCUGGCUCCAACGGUUUCACCGGAUCCUUCUUCAAAUCUUAUUGGGAUAAACGGGACAUGAUGAAUGCGAUCAAUCCCUUCUCAAACUUACAGGUGGCAAACUUACAUUGGCUCAACUCGGUGAAUAUAGUGUUACUUCCUAAGAAGGAUGGAGCGGAAGAUAUUAUAGACUUUCGUCUGAUCAGCUUGAUCCACUUUUUUGCAAAAAUCAUCGUGAAGAUCAUGGCUAGUAGACAAGCUCCAUUCAUGAAUAAACUGGUUUCCAGAGCCCAGAGCGCUUUUAUCAAGACUAGAAUCAUACACGGCAACUUUAUGUAUGUCAGACGCUUCACCGCCUGCUUGCAUCAAAAUAGAACGCCAGCUCUUCUCCUCAAGCUAGAUAUCAAAAAGGCUUUCGACUUGAUUCGUUGGGACUACAUGCUCGAUUUGCUGUAGUGUCGCGGCUUCCUUGCUAAAUUUAGAACCUGCAUUGCCGCUCUGUGGGCCUCGUCCUCUUCGAGGGUGCUUCUCAAUGGCAUGCCCCAGGAUCUAAUUAAACUUGGCCAGGGGUUGCGGCAGGGCGAUCCGCUAUCCCCCUUACUCUUCAUCAUCACCACCGAUCCCCUACAACAGCUCCUAAUCAAAGCCACGGAUCAGGGCCUCCUCAACCAUCUGAGGGGCCGUACAACCACUAUCCACACUUCUUUGUAUGCCAGGGACGCCAAGAUUUUUGUUGCUCCGAUCAAGGAGGAUAUUGACCACCUAUUGACUGUUUUGACUGCUUUUGGAGAAGUGACAGUCUUGAUCACCAAUCUGCUAAAAAGCAUGGUCACCCUCAUUCACUGUCGCUACCUUGACCUCGACGCGAUCCUACAGAGCUUUCCGGCAAAACGGGUCAACUUACCAAUGCAGUACCUAGGGCCAUCGUUAUCCACUCAUUGUCUCAAGAAGUCAGACUGUCAAUUCCUGGUGGAUAAGGUGGCGGCCAAGCUUCCGCCAUGGCAAGGAAAAAAUGUCAACACGCCUGGUUGUGCCACUCUCGUCAAAUCAGUGUUGACAUCCCUGGUUAUCUAG
rnacentral:rRNA from 1 species